UACGUAGGGUGCAAGCGUUAAUCGGAAUUACUGGGCGUAAAGCGUGCGCAGGCGGCUAUGCAAGACAGAUGUGAAAAUCCCCCGGGCUCAACCUGGGAACUGCAUUUUGUGACUGCAUAGCGUAGAGUACGGUAGAGGGGGGAUGGAAAUUCCGCGUGUAGCAGUGAAAAUGCGUAGAUAUGCGGGAAGGGAACACCGAUGGCGAAGGCAAUCCCCCUGGACCUGUACU
rnacentral:rRNA from 1 species